rnacentral:rRNA from 1 species
UCGUCAGCUCGUGUCGUGAGAUGUUGGGUUAAGUCCCGCAACGAGCGUAACCCUCAUCCUUAGUUGCCAUCAGGUAAUGCUGAGCACUUUAAGGAAACUGCUAGUGAUAAACUGGAGGAAGGUGGGGAUGAUGUCAAGUCAUCAUGGCCCUUAUGGAGUGGGCUACACACGUGCUACAAUGGUGGCUACAAUGGGCUGCAAAGUCGCGAGGCCAAGCUAAUCCCUUAAAAGCCAUCUCAGUUCGGAUUGUACUCUGCAACUCGAGUGCAUGAAGUUGGAAUCGCUAGUAAUCGUGGAUCAGCAUGCCACGGUGA